UACAGGGGUGCAAACGUUGCUCGGAAUCAUUGGGCGUAAAGCGCACGUAGGCGGUUCGUUAUGUCGGAUGUGAAAGCCCUUGGCUUAACCGAGGAAGUGCAUCCGAAACUGGCGAGCUAGAGUACGAAAGAGGAUCGCGGAAUUCCCGGUGUAGAGGUGAAAUUCGUAGAUAUCGGGAGGAACACCGGUGGCGAAGGCGGCGAAUCUGGGUCGAGUACUGACGCUGAGGUGCGGAAAGCGUGGGGAGCAAACAGGG
rnacentral:rRNA from 1 species